AAGCGAAUGGAGACACAAACUCGCACAUUUGUAAAGUAUGUUUCGAAUCUCCCACUGCAGCAAUUCUACUCCCUUGCCGUCAUUUCUGCUUAUGUAAAUCAUGUUCCCUUGCUUGCUCUGAAUGUCCAAUUUGCCGCACAAAGAUUUCUGAUCGGCUCUUUGCAUUUCCGUCUUAACCAAUCAAAGGUCUCCAAGAACUGGUGGUGAAGCCUGUUGCUAUAAAUAUUUGGAGGAGAGAACAGGCUGGGAUUUUUUAAUUAGUUUUUGGCUCUUUUGUAUGUAAUAUUUAUGUCAUAUCAUCAGUCUAUGCUUAUAUUAUAUAUAUUAUUAUCAUUUAAAAUGGGGAAAAAGGAAAAAUUAAAACAUAUACGUGACAUGUCUUCAUUUUUCCUCUGCCAAAUAUAUGUACACUCCGGUAGUUUUAUUUAACGACCAAGAUUGUUUUGAAAAUAUA